rnacentral:lncRNA from 1 species
UUGGAAUGUGAGAUUCGGAUAGCAACUUAAGAGUUGCUUUAAAUUUUAUGAUUGACAUUGCAGAAAGAGGUUGACCUUGUCGCAAGCCUUGAUUUAACUGUUAGAAAUGUGGCUGAGCUGGUUUUUCUAGUAAAAUGACAACAUAUGAUUUGAAAUUUACCUGAGUGGUUGUCCCAAUCUUUCACUUGAUAAUGCAAAUGCAGUCUGCCAAACUAUGCUUCUUGUUGUGGUAUGAAUCUUAAAUUAUUAAUGGCGCUCUUGUCGAUAAAUAUUUGGAGUGCUGUAAUUAUGUUAUUAACUGAAACUACUAAAUUGCCACAGGUAGGUUUAAGAAUCUUUACUUUGUAGCAACCCCCUUAAUCAUCCACAGGUAUGAUUAAAAAAUUGCAAGCAGUCAUUAGUAGUUGACAUCAUCUUGCCAACCAUAUAAAGGCUUAUUCAUGUGUACUAUGAAGUCUCAUCUACAGUCUGCUCCAAUUUUAUAUCUCAGUUGUUAGAUUUGUUGAUGCUAAUAUUUAGUUUGAUUAUAUCACUCUUGUCGCCUCUACAUGGGAAAUU